GGUUGGAUCCCUGCCUAGCGCGGCGACGUCCUACCUUGCAAUCCUCUUCAUUUUUGGAACGAUUUUAAUCGUCCGUUCUCCGGUUUCCUGUGUUGCGUACCUACUCGACGGAAUUCGAUAGUCAAUCUCUCCUAGUUCGCCCUAGGCUACCCGUUUGCUCGGUGCGGUCGCAGGUGAAACUCGCAGCGAGACUCGUGACCCUCGGACCUCACAUUGCGUGUUGGUUUCGCGGUGCAUGAUUUCCCGCUCGAGCGCUGGGAUGCAGAAAACAAUAUGGGCACGGAGUCCCCGACUCCUAUUUGUCCUCGAAGGCUUAAACGCUUAUUUCAAACGACGUGCGGUCCCGUUCCGGCCUUGUGCCGUGCGGGUCGAUGUCCGUGAGGAAUGCUAC
rnacentral:misc_RNA from 1 species